rnacentral:rRNA from 1 species
AAGUCGAACGAGGAGUUUUGCUUCGGUAAAUCUCCGAGUGGCGAACGGGUGAGUAACGCGUUGGUGACCUGCCCCGAAGUGGGGGAUAACGGCUCGAAAGGGCUGCUAAUACCCCAUGUGGUCGUAGAGGCUAGAUACUUUACGUCUAAAGGAGUAAUUCGCUUCGGGAUGGGCCUGCGUCCCAUCAGCUAGUUGGUAGGGUAAUGGCCUACCAAGGCGACGACGGGUAGGGGGCCUCAGAGGGUGACCCCCCACAUUGGCACUGAAACACGGGCCAAACACCUACGGGUGGCAGCAGUAGGGAAUAUUGCACAAUGAGCGAAAGCUUGAUGCAGCAACGCCGCGUGCGCGAUGACGGCCUUCGGGUUGUAAAGCGCUUUUCGGGGAGAUGAGGAAGGACAGUAUCCCCGGAAUAAGUCUCGGCUAACUACGUGCCAGCAGCCGCGGUAACACGUAGGAGGCAAGCGUUAUCCGAAUUUACUGGGCGUAAAGCGCGUGCAGGCGGUUCGGUAAGUUGGAUGUGAAAUCUCCCGGCUCAACUGGGAGGGGACGUUCAAUACUGUCGGACUUGAGGACGAUAGAGGGAGGUGGAAUUCCCGGUGUAGUGGUGAAAUGCGUAGAUAUUAGGAAGAACACCAGUGGCGAAGGCGACUUUCUGGACAAUAACUGACGCUGAGGCUCGAAAGCGUGGGGAGCAAACAGGAUUAGAUACCCUGGUAGUCCACGCCGUAAACGAUGGGUACUAGGUGUAGGGGGUAUCGACUCCCCCUGUGCCGCCGUAAACACAAUAAGUACCCCGCCUGGG